rnacentral:rRNA from 1 species
AGCGAUCGUUGGCGGCAGGCCUAACACAUGCAAGUCGAACGACCUCUAUAUGAGGGAGUGGCGGACGGGUGAGUAAUACUUGGGAACAUGCCUUUUGCUGGGGGAUAACUGUUGGAAACAGCAGCUAAUACCGCAUAUGCCUUCGGGUAAAAGCUCCGGCGGCAAAAGAUUGGCCCAAGCUUCAUUAGCUAGUUGGUAAGGUAAAAGCUUACCAAGGCAACGAUGAAUAGCUGGUCUGAGAGGAUGAUCAGCCACACUGGAACUGAGACACGGUCCAGACUCCUACGGGAGGCAGCAGUGAGGAAUAUUGCGCAAUGGGGGAAACCCUGACGCAGCCAUGCCGCGUGCACGACGAAGGCCUUCGGGUUGUAAAGUGCUUUCAAUGGGGAAGAUGAUGACGGUACCCAUACAAGAAGUCCCGGCUAAUUCCG